GGCAAUCCGCAGGGAAGCCCCUACGUCCCCCCGGGGAUAUGGGGAACGUUCACAGACUAAGUGGAAGUGGGUGGGACCUGUCCUGCUUAAGAUAUAGUCGGGCCCCCCGGGAGACCGGGGGGGUGAGUACACUGUACGAACCUCUAACCGUUCCGUAGGUGAACCUGCGGAAGGAUCAUUAC
rnacentral:rRNA from 1 species